AGCAAUCUGCCUUGGAGUGGGGAAUAACGGCUGGAAACAGCCGCUAAUACCGCAUGAAGCAGCUGGGAGGCAUCUCCCUGGCUGUCAAAGAUUUGUCGCUCUGAGAUGAGCUCGCGUCUGAUUAGCUAGUUGGCGGGGUAACGGCCCACCAAGGCGACGAUCAGUAGCCGGACUGAGAGGUUGGCCGGCCACAUUGGGACUGAGACACGGCCCAGACUCCUACGGAAGGCAGCAG
rnacentral:rRNA from 1 species